UACGUAGGGUGCGAGCGUUAAUCGGAAUUACUGGGCGUAAAGCGUGCGCAGGCGGUUCGUUAAGUUCGUCGUGAAAGCCCCGGGCUCAACCUGGGAACUGCGAUGGAAACUGGCGGGCUUGAGUGUGGCAGAGGGGGGUGGAAUUCCGCGUGUAGCAGUGAAAUGCGUAGAGAUGCGGAGGAACACCGAUGGCGAAGGCAGCCCCCCUGGGCCAACACUGACGCUCAGGCACGAAAGCGUGGGGAGCAAACAGG
rnacentral:rRNA from 1 species